rnacentral:lncRNA from 1 species
CGCCCCGGCCCAAUGGUAGAUAAAACGUGUUUUUGGGCGUGGCAUAUUUUAAUGCAGCCAAACACGCCUUAUUCAGUUAUAUGGAUGCCUCCUGACCGUCGGAUUGAAACUUGAUCUAAGGGUGCCUUUGUUGGAUAUAAAUACUUGGCCCCUUUUGCCCUAAUUCACUUGGACCGUCAUUUUUCUCUUCUCUCCAGCUGCGGCUGAGGUUCGAGAGUCUUCCAAACCCUCUCUUCUUCUUCGUGAGAAUCCAAUCUCUGAUUGGAUCUGGUUUCUGUGUGAUUCCAUCUUUGUGUUCCUUAAUACUGUGUGUAUUGGAGAGUUUGGUGUGUGAUUUUACCCCUUGUGGUUUCCUUUAACUGAUAAAGGAAAACCUUAGGGUUUGGGGCGAUCGGUGUGGGUCAUACAGAAGGGUACAAUCCUGUAUUUUCU